CACGUAGGGCGCAAGCGUUGUCCGGAAUUAUUGGGCGUAAAGGGCUCGUAGGCGGCCAACUAAGUCCGACGUGAAAUCCCCAGGCUUAACCUGGGAACUGCGUCGGAUACUGGAUGGCUUGAAUCCGGGAGAGGGAUGCGGAAUUCCAGGUGUAGCGGUGAAAUGCGUAGAUAUCUGGAGGAACACCGGUGGCGAAGGCGGCAUCCUGGACCGGCAUUGACGCUGAGGAGCGAAAGCCAGGGGAGCAAACGGG
rnacentral:rRNA from 1 species